rnacentral:rRNA from 1 species
AUCGAACGCUGGCGGCAGGCUUAACACAUGCGAGUCGAGCGGAGAUGAGGUGCUUGCACCUUAUCUUAGCGGCGGACGGGUGAGUAAUGCUUAGGAAUCUGCCUAUUAGUGGGGGACAACAUUCCGAAAGGAAUGAUAAUACCGCAUACGCCCUACGGGGGAAAGCCGGGGAUCUUCGGACCUUGCGCUAAUAGAUGAGCCUCAGUCGGAUUAGCUAGUUGGUGGGGUAAAGGCCUACCAAGGCGACGAUAUGUAGCGGGUCUGAGAGGAUGAUCCGCCACACUGGGACUGAGACACGGCCCAGACUCCUACGGGAGGCAGCAGUGGGGAAUAUUGGAUAAUGGGCGGAAGCCUGAUCCAGCCAUGCCGCGUGUGUGAAGAAGGCCUUUUGGUUGUAAAGCACUUUAAGCGAGGAGGAGGCUACCUGGAUUAAUACUCUAGGAUAGUGGACGUUACUCGCAGAAUAAGCACCGGCUAACUCUGUGCCAGCCGCCGCGGUAAAAC